UUCUGAAGGGCCUAAUCCACUUAGCCCUUAACUCUGCUAACAUGCAGGUCUACUUAUCUAUAAAGAGAGGCAACAAUUUGAACAUUGCUAUGGACAUCUGUAGACAUCUUUCAGUGGGAAGCUGAAAAAUUUUCACUAUAGGAAGACAUUACCAUUUCUGGCAAUGGUCAGAUCACCAGAUUCCAGGGGGAGGUCAGGUCCAUGCUCUUUCUACUGCAUCCUGCUGACAAGAAGGGAAAGUGUGGGAACUGAUGGAGGUUCAGCAGGCUCUGUUGUCAGCCCAACAAAAGCACCAAAGAAGUUUCCUGGCUGACAUUUUACUACAUCAUCACGUACGGCGAACUGGAUUGUGAAUGCCCUUAGAUGCCAUUGGAAGGGAUUUAGAUUUCACUUUCUAAGUAGGCAAUGCGAGUCCAUUCAGAGAUUGUGAAGUGGAAGAAUAUCAUGAUCAGAUCUGUGUGGCUGAUGAAUAGAGACAAAUCUGAUGUCUGGGGUUAUAUUAUUGAGAUUCAAUAAAUGCUAAUUCUAUACUUA